UGGGGAAUAUUGGACAAUGGGGGGCAACCCUGAUCCAGCAAUGCCGCGUGUGUGAAGAAGGUCUUCGGAUUGUAAAGCACUUUCGACGGGGACGAUGAUGACGGUACCCGUAGAAGAAGCCCCGGCUAACUUCGUGCCAGCAGCCGCGGUAAUACGAAGGGGGCUAGCGUUGCUCGGAAUGACUGGGCGUAAAGGGCGUGUAGGCGGUUUACACAGUCAGAUGUGAAAUCCCCGGGCUUAACCUGGGAGCUGCAUUUGAUACGUGUAGACUAGAGUGUGAGAGAGGGUUGUGGAAUUCCCAGUGUAGAGGUGAAAUUCGUA
rnacentral:rRNA from 1 species